rnacentral:lncRNA from 1 species
GCAUGAUCUUCCAUCGGGAAUCCGAAAUUACAGGAAUUUGCAGGCGUAUCGGAGUAAUCAACAUCUUCAAGCUUUGGGAAGAUGUAUGGAGGCAGCAGGCUUUUGCUGAAGUUAUCUUCUUCAUCUUGGGAAAGGUCAGACUGCUCAGGUUCGAAAACAUAUGAAGAAUCACCAGGCUCUAAGAGUGAAGAGUGAACUCCAUCCGGGUAAUGUGGGCUGUCUGAAUCAAAUAUGUCACUCCUGCCUGAACUAUGAUCUUCCUGCUUAGAGGCCACAGCUGAGACUUUUGAUACUUCGCCUUCGGAGGCCGAGUCAGCAAUUGGCUUCUGCGGC